UACGGGGGGGAGCAAGCGUUGUUCGGAUUUACUGGGCGUAAAGCGUGCGCAGGCGGCUUUGCAAGACAGAUGUGAAAUCCCCGGGCUUAACCUGGGAACUGCAUUUGUGACUGCAUGGCUGGAGUGCGGCAGAGGGGGAUGGAAUUCCGCGUGUAGCAGUGAAAUGCGUAGAUAUGCGGAGGAACACCGAUGGCGAAGGCAGUCCCCUGGGCCUGCACUGACGCUGAGACGCGAAAAGCGUGGGGGAGCGAACAGG
rnacentral:rRNA from 1 species